rnacentral:lncRNA from 1 species
CUGGGCCUCGUCGCCUACGUAGGAGUCCUUCUGGCCCAUGCCGACCAUGAUGCCCUGUGGAUCAAAUCGAUGGUUGACGUGAGGAUUUUAAUUACUCACCUGAUAGCGGGGCCUGCCGACGAUGGAUGGAAAGACGGCUCGAGGCGCGUCGUCGCCGGCGAAACCAGCCUUGCACAUUCCCGAUCCAUUGUCAACCACGAGAGCGGCUACGUCGUCGUCGCACAUUUUCGAUAUCAAAACUGAAAUUUCAACUGGAUUUUAUUUUCAACGUUUUGUCCUCAAGCUUAUGUUGCGUGGACGUUACUCGAUAAUCUGUAUCCUUAACGAUUUCAUUUAACAUAACACAUUUUCUGUUUUGACGAAAAGCAAACGAACGAAAGUUAAAACUGUAAUUAAAAAUCGAUUAUUAGAGUAAUGUUUAAAAACCACUGUCGUAACGUCCACGAUAAACACUUGAAUAUAUACCCCAAACACCCGCAUACCGCAGACUUACAGGUAUCUCUGAUGGUAACACAAAUGACUAGAUCGGAUCGAUCUUCGAAAUCGCCAAAACCGAUCGCACUAGGCUUGUAACAAAUGCAACGGCAAAAGAAAGCGAAGCACACGGUGAAUCCGCGACGAGGAUGAAACGUCGAGUCCUCGAGCGAGCUGUGUCCGGCCGACUUUAUACCGGGGCUCCCCUUCCGCGUGCCUCGCUCGCAUCUUUAUAUGGGCAUCGGCUUUAAUCUCGGGCGCGAGCUGCAACCGAUUUUCGCCUUUUUCGCGCGCGACGAGGCUUCCGGGGCGCGCCGAGCCGUUCUUUUUACUUUUUACUUCGGAGCGACCUUCGCGACCUUAACAGGGUGUAGGUGACUAAAGGAGUUACGCGUGAUUGAGAUUUGGAGCGCGAGAGCUUUUCUCGAGUUUUAUCUCGAUUUUUUGGCAAGAUCUACUACUGGAGUAGCUUUUGCAUUCGAAAUUUAUAAAGUAGAGUAUAAUAUGAAAUUCUUUUGGAUAGUCUCUCAUUUUUAUAUUUAGAAGGGCAGCAAUUGAAAAUUAACAUUCCGGAUGCAGCUUUAAUAAUCAGCAGGAAAAAUCAGCAAUUUGUAUGAAGAGAGUCGUUCAUUCAACGGUUUUCACCAUUUAUCGGCUACUCUCGAUAUUGAUGAGUAGCUAUAUCUGUUACCUAACGCUAUCGCGAUGCAGAAGUGAUAUAUGAUGAAUGAAAAAAUAAAUGAUUCUCGAACAGCUUUUUUCUGAGGAUUUGUAUAAUCACAAUAAAUAAGUUUAAUAAUUUUAUAAUGAAGUCGGCAUAUCAGCAUAGCAGUGGUUUAUAAUUUCGGUAUAUAUAGCAUAAAGACAUAAUAGCCAUUUGGCAUUGCGACGCUUUUCCUUAUAAGGAGCGAUUUUGCACUUAUCUCUAAACGAGAGAAAAAAAAUGAUUCACGGGCUAACUCAGCUCCGUUAGCGCAGAUAUAAAGGAUUUAUAGAUCGAAUCCGAUGGAAAUCUAAAAACGCAUAAUGUAGUGUCGUAUAAUUCCGAUAUACAAAGGCGCAUUUUUCCUUGCAGCCAGGGUUUACAGCCUCCCCAAUAUACACAUCAGCGUACAAACCAAUCGGCCCUAUAUAAACGCGUACGUGUGCAGUAAAUGUUAUAAAUGUUGAAAAAUGGUGUAUAUCAUCUGCAGCGAUCGAAAUAAAGAAAAUCGUUUCUUCCCGCCGACGCGUCGAAUAAUAAACAAUAACUCAUCGCAUCUCGAUACAGCCGGCGUAUCCGCAGGGAAAGCCCAUAUCUCGCGAGCGCACACAUCCAUACGGCGGGCAAUCUUUCCUCGCAACAGCUCCA